GGGGCGGUAGCUCAAUGGGAGAGCACUAGCUUUGCAAGCUAGGGGUUGCCGGUUCGAGUCCGGUCCGCUCCA
rnacentral:tRNA from 1 species